rnacentral:rRNA from 1 species
UUGGGAAUAUUGGACAAUGGGGGAAACCCUGAUCCAGCAAUGCCGCGUGGGUGAUGAAGGCCUUCGGGUUGUAAAGCCCUUUUGGCGGGGACGAUGAUGACGGUACCCGCAGAAUAAGCCCCGGCUAACUUCGUGCCAGCAGCCGCGGUAAUACGAAGGGGGCUAGCGUUGUUCGGAAUUACUGGGCGUAAAGGGCGCGUAGGCGGCCGUGCAAGUCAGAUGUGAAAGCCCUGGGCUCAACCCAGGAGGUGCAUUUGAUACUGCAUGGCUAGAGUGUCGGAGAGGAUGGUGGAAUUCCCAGUGUAGAGGUGAAAUUCGUAGAUAUUGGGAAGAACACCGGUGGCGAAGGCGACCAUCUGGACGACAACUGACGCUGAGGCGCGAAAGCGUGGGGAGCAAACAGGAUUAGAUACCCUGGUAGUCCACGCCGUAAACUAUGCGUGUUGGACGUUUGCGAGCCUAGCUCGUCGGUGUCGCAGCUAACGCGUUAAACACGCCGCCUGGGGAGUACGGCCGCAAGGUUA